UAGGGAAUCUUCGGCAAUGGGGGGAACCCUGACCGAGCAACGCCGCGCGAGUGAAGAAGGUUUUCGGAUCGUAAAGCUCUGUUGUUAAGGAAGAACGAGUGUGAGAAUGGAAAGUUCAUGCUGUGACGGUACUUAACCAGAAAGGGACGGCUAACUACGUGCCAGCAGCCGCGGUAAUACGUAGGUCCCGAGCGUUGUCCGGAUUUAUUGGGCGUAAAGCGAGCGCAGGCGGUUAGAAAAGUCUGAAGUGAAAGGCAGUGGCUCCACAAUUGUAGUCUUUGGAAACUGUUUAACUUGAGUGCAGAGGGGAAGAGUGGACUUCCAUGUGGAGCGGUGAAAUGCGUAGAUAUAUGGAGGAACACCGGUGGCGAAAGCGGCUCUCUGGUCUGUAACUGACGCUGAGGCUCGAAAGCGUGGGGAGCGAACAGG
rnacentral:rRNA from 1 species